UGGGUAACCUGCCUCAAAGAGGGGAAUAGCCUCCCGAAAGGGAGAUUAAUACCGCAUAAUAUGUUUAAGUCGCAUGACUUUAACAUCAAAGGAUUUUCUUUUAGAAAUUCCACUUUGAGAUGGACCCGCGGCGCAUUAGCUAGUUGGUGAGGUAACGGCUCACCAAGGCAACGAUGCGUAGCCGACCUGAGAGGGUGAUCGGCCACAUUGGAACUGAGACACGGCCAGACUCCGUAGGAG
rnacentral:rRNA from 1 species